rnacentral:rRNA from 1 species
AGUGAACGCUGGCGGUAGGCCUAACACAUGCAAGUCGAACGGCAGCACAGUAAGAGCUUGCUCUUACGGGUGGCGAGUGGCGGACGGGUGAGGAAUACAUCGGAAUCUACUUUUUCGUGGGGGAUAACGUAGGGAAACUUACGCUAAUACCGCAUACGACCUACGGGUGAAAGCAUGGGAUCUUCGGACCUUGCGCGAUUGAAUGAGCCGAUGUCGGAUUAGCUAGUUGGCGGGGUAAUGGCCCACCAAGGCGACGAUCCGUAGCUGGUCUGAGAGGAUGGUCAGCCACACUGGAACUGAGACACGGUACAGACUCCUACGGGAGGCAGCAGUGGGGAAUAUUGGACAAUGGGCGCAAGCCUGAUCCAGCCAUACAGCGUGGGUGAAGAAGGCCUUCGGGUUGUAAAGCCCUUUUGUUGGGAAAGAAAAGCAGCAGGUUAAUACCCCGCUGUUCUGACGGUACCCAAAGAAUAAGCACCGGCUAACUUCGU